UGGCUCAGAACGUACGCUGGCGGCACGCCUAACACAUGCAAGUCGAACGCAGUAGCAAUACUGAGUGGCAAACGGGUGAGUAUAAUGUGGGAAUCUGCCUUUUGGUUUGGAAUAACACGGGGAAACUUGUGCUAAUACCGAAUAAGCCCUUACGGGGAAAGUUUUAAUGCCGAAAGAUGAGCCCGCACUUGAUUAGCUAGUUGGUAAGGUAAAAGCUUACCAAGGCAACGAUCAAUAGCUGUUCUUAGAGGAAGACCAGCCACAUUGGGACUGAGACACGGCCCAGACUCCUACGGGAGGCAGCAGUGGGGAAUCUUGCACAAUGGGGGAAACCCUGAUGCAGCGAUGCCGCGUGAGUGAAGAAGGCCUUUGGGUUGUAAAACUCUUUCGUCGGGGAAGAAAAUGACUGUACCCGAAUAAGAAGGUCCGGCUAACUUCGUGCCAGCAGCCGCGGUAAUACGAAGGGACCUAGCGUAGUUCGGAAUUACUGGGCUUAAAGAGCUCGUAGGUGGUUAAAAAAGUUGAUGGUGAAAUCCCAAGGCUCAACCUUGGAACUGCCAUCAAAACUUUUUAGCUAGAGUGUGAUAGAGGUAAGUGGAAUUUCUAGUGUAGAGGUGAAAUUCGUAGAUAUUAGAAAGAACACCAAAUGCGAAGGCAACUUACUGGGUCACUACUGACACUGAGGAGCGAAAGCAUGGGUAGCGAAGAGGAUUAGAUACCCUCGUAGUCCAUGCCGUAAACGAUGUGUGCUAGACGUUGGAAAUAUAUUUUUCAGUGUCGCAGCGAAAGCAUUAAGCACACCGCCUGGGGAGUACGACCGCAAGGUUAAAACUCAAAUGAAUUGACGGGGACCCGCACAAGCAGUGGAGCAUGUGGUUUAAUUCGAAGAUACGCGCAGAACCUUACCAACACUUGACAUGUUCGUCGCGAGCCUAAGAGAUUAG
rnacentral:rRNA from 1 species